GAAGAGGCUGGUGCAGGCCGUAUCAGGAGCACUGCACCUUUCCAGGCUCAGCUGCGUGGGGCAGGCAGCAGUGCCAACACUGGAAGGGGUCGAGACUCCUGGCCUGGCAGAGCCCAGCCUCCCCCCACCGGGAAAAGGCUGAUGUCACACGCCUUUGUGGGCUCAGGGUGGGCAACAGCUCUGUAUACAAGGUAAGCACGUGCCUCUGGGCCGCAGGGCUCAGCAGCCUGUUGGUGCUGGUGCUGAUUUCUGAGAUUUUCAAACUGAGUU